GACGAGGGAUCCUAGCGUUGUUCGGAAUCAUUGGGCGUAAAGCGGGUGUAGGUUGCUCUUUAAGUCAGAUGUGAAAGCCCGGGGCUUAACCCCGGAAGUGCAUUUGAUACUGAAGAGCUUGAGUGCUGGAGAGGCUACUAGAAUUCCUGGUGUAGUGGUGAAAUACGUAGAUAUCAGGAGGAAUACCGGAGGCGAAGGCGGGUAGCUGGCCAAGCACUGACACUCAGACCCGAAAGCGUGGGGAUCAAACAGG
rnacentral:rRNA from 1 species